CCCUUAGAUGUUCUGGGCCGCACGCGUGCUACACUGAGUGGAUCAGCGGGUCAGGUUGCGCGAAAGCGUUUCCUAAUCUUUAAAUCCGCUCGUGAUGGGGAUUGACGGUUGCAAUUUUCUGUCAUGAACGAGGAAUACAUUGUAAGCGCGGGUCAUCAUCCCGCGCUGAAUACGUCCCUGCCCUUUGUACACACCGCCCGUCGCUCCUACCGAUUGAGUGGUCCGGUGAGGCUUUGGGAUCUGAGCGGAAAGAGCGUUUCGCUGUUUCUGCUCGGAAAACUCAGUCGAACCUUAUCAUUUAGAGGAAGGAGAAGUCGUAACA
rnacentral:rRNA from 1 species